rfam:Candidatus Adlerbacteria bacterium RIFCSPLOWO2_01_FTLL_54_21b rifcsplowo2_01_scaffold_34799, whole genome shotgun sequence.
GGGGAUGACAGGCCUAGACAAUGGGACUACGUGACUGAUGCGCGAGGUAGAAGUCCGGAUUUCUUCUUUAAACAAUCCGGAACCAAUAACUGCCAAAUCAGUUGCAUCGCCGUUUUUCACGGCGAAUGAUUUCGAGUUCGCCUACGCUAAGGCGUAAUUCGUCGCCUCUCCUUCAACGCUCGUGAGGAGGAGUAAGGUGUUAUAUCAUCGAGUUGCUGUAGAGUAGCUGCUCACUACCCUACCUAAGAUCAGAGCUUUAGCGUAUCGCGCUUUUGUGUGCUUUUUAUGUGAUACGCCGAGACACUAAAGCACUCUACACCCCGUAGAAGCCCAGUCCGUAACUCAUUGCACCCGGGUUCAACUCCCGGC